UGGGGAAUUUUGGACAAUGGGCGAAAGCCUGAUCCAGCAAUGCCGCGUGUGUGAAGAAGGCCUUCGGGUUGUAAAGCACUUUUGUCCGGAAAGAAAUCCUUGGCUCUAAUACAGUCGGGGGAUGACGGUACCGGAAGAAUAAGCACCGGCUAACUACGUGCCAGCAGCCGCGGUAAUACGUAGGGUGCAAGCGUUAAUCGGAAUUACUGGGCGUAAAGCGUGCGCAGGCGGUUUGCUAAGACCGAUGUGAAAUCCCCGGGCUCAACCUGGGAACUGCAUUGGGUGACUGGCAGGCUAGAGUAUGGCAGAGGGGGGUAGAAUUCCACGUGUAGCAGUGAAAUGCGUAGAGAUGUGGAGGAAUACCGAUGGCGAAGGCAGCCCCCUGGGCAAUACUGACGCUCAUGCACGAAAGCGUGGGGAGCAAACAGGAUUAGAUACCCUGGUAGUCCACGCCCUAAACGAUGUCAACUAGUUGUUGGGGAUUCAUUUCCUAGUAACGUAGCUAACGCGUGAAGUUGACCGCCUGGGGAGUACGGUCGCAAGAUUAAAACUCAAAUGAAUUGACGGGG
rnacentral:rRNA from 1 species